AACGAACGCUGGCGGCGUGCUUAACACAUGCAAGUCGAACGAAAAGUCCCUACUUUUUUGCGGUGCUCGAGUGACGAACGGGUGAGUAGCCCGUGAGUAACCUACCCUUGACUUUGGGAUAACUUCAUACAACUUGGGCUCAUCCCGGGUAGGAUCUCCCGCUGCUUGGUGGGCGUUGGAAAGUUUCGGCAGUUGGGGAUGUACUCGCGGCCUAUCGGCUUGGUGGGUGGGUAGUGGCUUAGCAAGGCUUUGACGGGUAGCCGGGCUGAGAGGGUUACCGGACAAAUCGGGACUGAGAUACGGCCCAGACUCGUACGGUAGGCAGGGGUGGGGAAUAUUGUACAACGGGCGGAAGGCUGAUGCAGCAACGCCGCGCGGGGGAUGACGGCCUGGGGGUUGGAAACCGCUAUCGUCUGUGACGAAGCGUUAGUGACGGUAAUGGGUAAAGAAGCCCCGGCUAACUACGUG
rnacentral:rRNA from 1 species